AUACGUAGGGUGCAAGCGUUAAUCGGAAUUACUGGGCGUAAAGCGUGCGCAGGCGGUUUUGUAAGACAGAGGUGAAAUCCCCCGGCUCAACCUGGGAACUGCCUUUGUUACUGGAAGGCUAGAGUACGGCAGAGGGGGGUGAAAUUCCGCGUGUAGCAGUGAAAUGCGUAGAUAUGCGGAGGAACAACGAUGGCGAAGGCAAUCCCCUGGGCCUGUACUGACGCUCAUGCACGAAAGCGUGGGGAGCAAACAGGAUUAGAUACCCUGGUAGUCCACGCCCUAAACGAUGUCAACUGGUUGUUGGGUCCUCAUUGACUCAGUAACGAAGCUAACGCGUGAAGUUGACCGCCUGGGGAGUACGGCCGCAAGGUUGAAACUCAAAUGAAUUGGCGGGG
rnacentral:rRNA from 1 species